AUUGAACGCUGGCGGCAGGCCUAACACAUGCAAGUCGAACGAGUGGCGGACGGGUGAGUAAUGUCUGGGAAACUGCCCGAUGGAGGGGGAUAACUACUGGAAACGGUAGCUAAUACCGCAUACCAUCGGAUGUGCCCCUAUGGGAUUAGCUAGUAGGUGGGGUAACGGCUCACCGAGGCGACGAUCCCUAGCUGGUCUGAGAGGAUGACCAGCAACACUGGAAGUGAGCCACGGUCCAGCCUCCUACGGGAGGCAGCAGUGGGGAAUAUUGCACAAGGGGCGCAAUCCUGAUGCAGCCAUGCCGCGUGUAUGAAGAAGGCCUUCGGGUUGUAAAGUACUUUCAGCGAGGAGGCGUUACUCGCAGAAGAAGCACCGGCUAACUCCGUGCCAGCAGCCGCGGUAAUUC
rnacentral:rRNA from 1 species